rnacentral:miRNA from 1 species
UGCAGGGUGUGUGUGUGUGUGUGUGUGUGUGUGUUGCGCCAGACAUUCAGCCGGCUCCCACGCCCCGGCAC